rnacentral:rRNA from 1 species
UACAUGCCGACGAGCGGCGAACGGGUGAGUAAUGCUUCGGAGUCUGCCCAAUGGUGGGGAAUAACCAGCCGAAAGGUUGGCUAAUACCGCAUAAGUCCUACGGGAGAAAGCGGGGGAUCGUAAGACCUCGCGCCGAUGGAUGAGCCGAAGUCGGAUUAGCUAGUUGGUAGGGUAACGGCCUACCAAGGCGACGAUCCGUAGCUGGUCUGAGAGGACGACCAGCCACACUGGGACUGAGACACGGCCCAGACUCCUACGGGAGGCAGCAGUGGGGAAUAUUGGACAAUGGGGGAAACCCUGAUCCAGCGACGCCGCGUGUGUGAAGAAGGCCUGCGGGUUGUAAAGCACUUUUAGUGGGGAUGAAAAGCUCAGGGCUAAUACCUCUGGGUCUUGACCUAACCCACANGAAAAGCACCGGCUAACUCUGUGCCAGCAGCCGCGGUAAUACAGAGGGUGCAAGCGUUAAUCGGAAUUACUGGGCGUAAAGCGUGCGUAGACGGUUACGUAAGUCG